rnacentral:rRNA from 1 species
AUUGAACGCUGGCGGCAGGCCUAACACAUGCAAGUCGAGCGAGCGGCGGACGGGUGAGUAAUGUCUGGGAAACUGCCUGAUGGAGGGGGAUAACUACUGGAAACGGUAUCUAAUACCGCAUACCAUCAGAUGUGCCCAGAUGGGAUUAGCUAGUAGGUGGGGUAACGGCUCACCUAGGCGACGCUCCCUAGCUGGUCUGAGAGGAUGACCAGCCACACUGGAACUGAGACACGGUCCAGAAGCCGACGGGAGACAGCAGUGGGGAAUAUGGCACAAUGGGCGCAAGCCUGAUGCAGCCAUGCCGGGUGUGUGAAGAAGGCCUUCGGGUUGUAAAGCACUUUAAGCGGGGAGGCGUUACCCGCAGAAGAAGCACCGGCUAACUCCGUGCCAGCAGCCGCGGUAAUUC